CACGUUUUAAAAACGUCCUAUUUCUUCGUUCCAACAUUACUGCGAUUUUCAUGUCUUGUAGUGCGCAACAAGCGGAGUUGUCUUCAAGACGUGGUUUGUAAUCCAUGGUCAAGUAGAGAUUUGUAGUAACCAAUCUUUUGUACACGUUUUAUGAUGAUACUGCAGAUUCGGAGAAAGUGUGCUUUGUUGUGGAGUGGUGCGAUGAGCCGGGCCACUACACCGUCGUUCCUAGAAAUUAGAUCGAGAGCCAACCACCAUUUCUGGUUGGUGGCAGCGUGUGUGUAAAGGCGACAGGUUCACGUGGGCAGAGUGUGAAGUACGAUGACAAGAUACUGUCCAAAGGAAGCAAGGCAGCCAUGGAGAGUACACUAGCUCGCCUGGUUGAAAACUCUACAACUAAUGUGAGCCAGCUAGAAAUGAGCAAGCAAGAGGCAGCUACUGAUUGUGUAGACAAAGAGAGGUAUUUGCAAGAAAUUCACUGUGAACUAUUUAUAAUAUGCUGCGGUAUCUGGUCUUCAUUACAGUAUAUCUGGCAAAGAACCUCUUCAACGUCAUUCAAAAAGUAUAAAUAACGGUCACAAUUAUUAGAAGACUUGGACAUAAGCUUACUGUCUAGGACAUAUAACAAUUUUAAAUUGAUUUGGUUUUGUAAUAGUUGAGAAUUAUUCCUUAUUUCUUUCUAACUUGGCCCUUUUGGAUUGUAGAGAAAUGUGCGAAAAGGAAUGCUGAAGAGAAGUCUGAGCAUCUGCCUUCAUCAAAGAGCCAGUUAUGGGACAGAUAUACGGACACAUUGAUACCAAAAAACAAAGAGAAGGAUAGCCAGCGUCAUUUUGAUGAGUACAGGUGCUUGUCACCAAAUUAUGAAG